rnacentral:rRNA from 1 species
GGGUGAGUAACACGUGGGUAACCUGCCUCAAAGAGGGGAAUAGCCUCCCGAAAGGGAGAUUAAUACCGCAUAAUAUGUUUUGAUCGCAUGAUCUUAACAUCAAAGGAAUUUUUCGGAAUUUCACUUUGAGAUGGACCCGCGGCGCAUUAGCUAGUUGGUGAGGUAAAGGCCCACCAAGGCAACGAUGCGUAGCCGACCUGAGAGGGUGAUCGGCCACAUUGGAACUGAGACACGGUCCAGACUCCUACGGGAGGCAGCAGUGGGGAAUAUUGCGCAAUGGGGGAAACCCUGACGCAGCAACGCCGCGUGAAUGAUGAAGGCCUUCGGG